GACGAACGCUGGCGGCGUGCCUAAUACAUGCAAGUAGAACGCUGAAGGAGGAGCUUGCUUCUCUGGAUGAGUUGCGAACGGGUGAGUAACGCGUAGGUAACCUGCCUGGUAGCGGGGGAUAACUAUUGGAAACGAUAGCUAAUACCGCAUAAGAGUAGAUGUUGCAUGACAUUUGCUUAGAAGGUGCAAUUGCAUCACUACCAGAUGGACCUGCGUUGUAUUAGCUAGUUGGUGGGGUAACGGCUCACCAAGGCGACGAUACAUAGCCGACCUGAGAGGGUGAUCGGCCACACUGGUACUGAGACACGGCCCAGACUCCUACGGGAGGCAGCAGUAGGGAAUCUUCGGCAAUGGACGGAAGUCUGACCGAGCAACGCCGCGUGAGUGAAGAAGGUUUUCGGAUCGUAAAGCUCUGUUGUAAGAGAAGAACGAGUGUGAGAGUGGAAAGUUCACACUGUGACGGCAUCUUACCAGAAAGGGACGGCUAACUACGUG
rnacentral:rRNA from 1 species